GGAUCCAGACUUUGAUCCUGGCUCAGGAUGAACGCUAGCGGCAGGCUUAAUACAUGCAAGUCGAGGGGCAGCACGAUAGCAAUAUUGGUGGCGACCGGCGCACGGGUGCGUAACACGUAUACAAUCUACCUUAAACAGGGGGAUAGCCUUUCGAAAGAGAGAUUAAUACCCCAUAAUAGUUUUGUUGGCAUCAACAGAAUUUGAAAGCUCCGGCGGUUUGAGAUGAGUAUGCGGCUUAUUAGCUAGUAGGUGAGGUAACGGCUCACCUAGGCUACGAUAAGUAGGGGAUCUGAGAGGACUACCCCCCACACUGGUACUGAGACACGGACCAGACUCCUACGGGAGGCAGCAGUAAGGAAUAUUGGACAAUGCUCGCAAGAGUGAUCCAGCCAUGCCGCGUGCAGGAAGAAUGCCCUAUGGGUAGUAAACUGCUUUUGAACUAGAGAAAACCCCAGUACGUGUACUGGGCUGAUAGUAUAGUUAGAAUAAGCAUCGGCUAACUUCGUGCCAGCAGCCGCGGUAAGACGAAGGAUGCAAGCGUUAUCCGGAUUCAUUGGGUUUAAAGGGAGCGUAGGUGGACUGAUGAGUCAGUGGUGAAAUCUCCGAGCUUAACUCGGAAAUUGCCAUUGAUACUGUUGGUCUUGAGUACAGUUGCUGUGGGCGGAAUAUGACAUGUAGUGGUGAAAUACAUAGAGAUGUCAUAGAACACCGAUUGCGAAGGCAGCUCACAAAGCUGUAACUGACACUGAGGCUCGAAAGUGCGGGGAUCAAACAGGAUUAGAUACCCUGGUAGUCCGCACCGUAAACGAUGAUUACUCGCUGCUAGGGGGCAACCUUUAGUGGCUUAGCGAAAGCGAUAAGUAAUCCACCUGGGGAGUACGCCGGCAACGGUGAAACUCAAAGGAAUUGACGGGGGCCCGCACAAGCGGAGGAGCAUGUGGUUUAAUUCGAUGAUACGCGAGGAACCUUACCAGGGCUUGAAAGUUAAGGAAUGAUAAUGAAAGUUGUCAGUCAGCAAUGACCUAAAACUAGGUGCUGCAUGGCUGUCGUCAGCUCGUGCCGUGAGGUGUUGGGUUAAGUCCCGCAACGAGCGCAACCC
rnacentral:rRNA from 1 species